CAUUUAAGAGUUUGAGAUGAGUUUUUGGUGAUUUUUCGUAGGCUACUGACCUACUGUGAUCGACGGGUUGUCGAUGUCUAAUGGCUUUGAAAAUUUUACAGCAUGUCCCUACAUGAGUCUUGAGCAUACCGGUAAAAUUUCAAGUCAUUCGGACUUGAUUUACUAUUUUUAUAAAAUGCAAAACCAAAUCUGCACAUUUCUACCGGG
rnacentral:lncRNA from 1 species